UACGAAGGGGGCUAGCGUUGCUCGGAAUCACUGGGCGUAAAGGGUGCGUAGGCGGGUCUUUAAGUCAGGGGUGAAAUCCUGGAGCCCAACUCCAGAACUGCCUUUGAUACUGAAGAUCUUGAGUUCGGGAGAGGUGAGUGGAACUGCGAGUGUAGAGGUGAAAUUCGUAGAUAUUCGCAAGAACACCAGUGGCGAAGGCGGCUCACUGGCCCGAUACUGACGCUGAGGUGCGAAAGCGUGGGGAGCAAACAGG
rnacentral:rRNA from 1 species